GGCCGUGUGGCGAAAUGGCAUCGCGUCUGACUACGAUGAACCAAGAACCUUUAACCGGUUAAGUAAUCAGGAGAUUGCAGGUUCGACCCCUGUCUCGGUCA